GGGGAGCAAACAGGAUUAGAUACCCUGGUAGUCCACGCCCUAAACGAUGUCUACUAGUUGUCGGGUCUUAAUUGACUUGGUAACGCAGCUAACGCGUGAAGUAGACCGCCUGGGGAGUACGGUCGCAAGAUUAAAACUCAAAGGAAUUGACGGGGACCCGCACAAGCGGUGGAUGAUGUGGAUUAAUUCGAUGCAACGCGAAAAACCUUACCUACCCUUGACAUGGUUGGAAUCUUUGAGAGAUCAGAGAGUGCUCGCAAGAGAACCAAUACACAGGUGCUGCAUGGCUGUCGUCAGCUCGUGUCGUGAGAUGUUGGGUUAAGUCCCGCAACGAGCGCAACCCUUGUCAUUAAUUGCCAUCAUUUAGUUGGGCACUUUAAUGAGACUGCCGGUGACAAACCGGAGGAAGGUGGGGAUGACGUCAAGUCCUCAUGGCCCUUAUGGGUAGGGCUUCACACGUCAUACAAUGGUACAUACAGAGGGUUGCCAAGCCGCGAGGUGGAGCUAAUCCCAGAAAGUGUAUCGUAGUCCGGAUUGGAGUCUGCAACUCGACUCCAUGAAGUUGGAAUCGCUAGUAAUCGCGGAUCAGCAUGUCGCGGUGAAUACGUUCCCGGGUCUUGUACACACCGCCCGUCACACCAUGGGAGCGGGUUUCACCAGAAGUAGGUAGCUUAACCGCAAGGAGGGCGCUUACCACGGUGGGAUUCGUGACUGGGGUGAAGUCGUAACAAGGUAACCGUA
rnacentral:rRNA from 1 species